CAGGCCUAACACAUGCAAGUCGAGCGGAAACGGCAGUAUUGAAGCUUCGGUGGAUUUACUGGACGUCGAGCGACGGACGGGUGAGUAACGGCUGGGAACCUGCCCUGACGAGGGGGAUAACCGUUGGAAACGACGGCUAAUACCGCAUAAUGUCUUGAUUCGUUAGAGUCAGGACCAAAGGUGGCCCCUACAUGUAAGCUAUCGCGUUGGGAUGGGCCCAGUUAGGAUUAGCUAGUUGGUAAGGUAAUGGCUUACCAAGGCAACGAUCCUUAGCUGGUUUGAGAGGAUGAUCAGCCACACUGGGACUGAGACACGGCCCAGACUCCUACGGGAGGCAGCAGUGGGGAAUAUUGCACAAUGGGGGAGACCCUGAUGCAGCCAUGCCGCGUGUGUGAAGAAGGCCUUCGGGUUGUAAAGCACUUUCAGCAGUGAGGAAGGUCGUGUACUUAAUACGUGCACGGCUUGACGUUAGCUGCAGAAGAAGCGCCGGCUAACUCCGUGCCAGCAGCCGCGGUAAUACGGAGGGUGCGAGCGUUAAUCGGAAUUACUGGGCGUAAAGCGCAUGCAGGCGGUUUGUCAAGUCAGAUGUGAAAGCCCGGGGCUCAACCUCGGAACCGCAUUUGAAACUGGCAGGCUAGAGUCUUGUAGA
rnacentral:rRNA from 1 species